UCCAAGAACUCUGGGAGUGGGCGG
rnacentral:piRNA from 1 species